GUGAAGCCAGUCAGCUUUUCGGGACGUUAGCAAGUGGAAACUGAGUCAGUAUCAUCCAAAACCAUAUCUAGUCUUAACACAUGGAGAAUGCUGGAGUGAGGGUUGUGAGUUCAGGGUAUAUAAUCAAGAAAACACUCCCAGCAUAAUGCUAGGGGUCACCAGUGUCCAUCCCCCAGAACUGUAUGGAUCUAGGAUAUACACAGCUGCGUUGCAUUAAGAAAGAGAUGAAAUCUCUAUUAAAAUACACAAGAUUUUUGUAUCUCCUUGUGCAGAGGAUAUUUGCCACUGCCCAUUGGGAAGCAGACAAGUUAUAGGGGGCUGGGGGCCAACACUGGCAAGUAGGAAACCACGGGUCGGACAGGUGAGCAAAAUGUGCUGGCAGGUGGGCACCACUGGGAGACCCACACUGCACACCCGGGCACCGUAUGAACAGGAAAGAGGAAGGAAGCUGGACGAAGCCCCUCAGGGACCCUGUGCUGACCAUGCUGGGCCCACCGGCAAAAGGGAGAUAUUCAGUUCCUUGUCUCAUCCUUAAGGUUUCUUCCACAACAUCUGAAUACAAGCAUGUUUAACUGGGAAAAUGUCUAUGUCAUGCGUGAAUAACACCAGCAGCAAACACUCACACAUCACGCAGACACGGCCGGCAGCAUGCUGACGCUUUUAGGUAUUUUUCACUCAUGCAAUUUUCACAUAUUUUCACUCAUUUCAUUUGCACGGAAAUUCUAUGAGGUAGAUGCUGUUAUCAAAUCCACAUUACAGAUGAGGGACCCAGGGUCCAGGAAGGUGAACUGGCAGAAGUCUCCCAGCUGGUAGAACAGGGCUGCAAGGCAUCGAUUCCCAGGUGUCUCACAGCCCUGAGAAGAUGGCGUUUUCCCUAUCAGUGGCUCUGAGGAAGUCAAGCCUUCAGUCUCUACCUCUCCCACCAAUUCUUUUGGAAACAGCAAACCAAUGUUACACACACUUCCUAAUCCAGAGGAAGCUAGAACACGAUUUUUAAAUUUAUUUAGUAAAAUAAAACUUUUUUUGCAGAUGUAACGAAUGGAAAUUGGUUGCUGGCUUCUUUCAUCCCUGCAACCUAGCGUUUCUCAGCCUCAGCACGACGGUCGUCUGGAGCUGGGUCGUUCUUGGUGGCUGGGGUGGCUGUCCCCUGCACCGUGGGAUGUUGAGCAGCAACACUGAACUCUACCAACUCAUUGCCAGUAGACCCCACUCCCGGUCAUGACACACAAAAACAUCACCAGACAUUGCCAAAUGUCCACUGCGGGGGUGAGGGGCGUGUAAAAGCGCCUCCCAUUGAGAACCACUGCUGUAACCUGAAUUAGAAGAUUUGGAAAAGAAAUGGUUGAAAACCCAGACCAGGAUCCCUGUUGUAUGUUUCCUAUGAAUGAUUUUCAUUUUUAGAAAUGAAAUAACAUCUAGGACAUAGAGCAAAACACUCAAAACACAUCAUAAAUGGAUAACAUAAAUAGAUAAAAAUCCAAUGCAGUUCAGAAUUACAAUCAAAUGUUAUUUUCUCUUGUGUUUUAGAAUUCCUCAUUUUCAUAGUCAAAAUAUCAACUAAAGCAUCAAAAGUUCCUGUUGAUAUUUUUGAAAAUGUGUUACUACUUAGCAAAUUUGGAUUUCUGGUUUGUACAGUGCUGAGCCCUUGAGGAAUACCAGAAGAAUGCACACCUUAAGGAGGCUGUGGUUUUCAGGGAGAGAACAGCCAUGCAUGAGGAUGGCCAUAGCAGAAGGCGGAGGGGUGGGGAAGUGCCAGCUGUUAGCUAUGUGGAGCCAGCCAGUUGCAAAUUUUCAAACCGGCAGAAGCAUCUGUUGUGUUUCACUAAAUGACCCGAGCCAGAUGUGGCCCACGUGUUCCCGAGCCUGCCUGAGUAUCUGAAGGGGAUAGAGCUGAUGUCCACUGACCUGCCUGGCUCCCUGCACCUUCAGCCACAUUUCGGAAGCACUUGCUACCCAGUGUUAAGGAUGUGCGGAGGCUUAGAGGAUUCCAGCUCUGUGGUCAGGGCCUUUUGCCCUUGUGUCCAGGAGCCUCCAGGGCUAGCUCCCAUCACUCAAGGACUGGACAGUUGUCCCUGAACCCCAGCCCUGUACUUGCUGCCAUGCCCCUCGAUGCUGCUGCCUAACCACUUGCUAGUGUGUAUCUCCAUGUAUGGCCAGCCCCCCACCCCUGCCAGUUCCCCCUUGCUUGCUUCUUUCCCCUCUCUGCCAGAAUAGCUCUGAUCACCACUUGUGGAUGGCUCCUACCUGGUCCCCAGGUGCACUAAAUGCUAAGCAGGUCCUGAGCUCCACUGGCCCUGAGUGAAGUUGCACUGUCUGUGGCUGGAUUUGUCUCUUCCAAUUGUCCAUCCUCUUGGGUGGCAUAGAAACAAGAACAUCAGAGACUUGGGAAGAGAACUCUGAGCUAGAAAUAUCUGUUGGCUGGGUGCAGUGGCUCAUCCCUGUAAUCCCAGCACUUCGGGAGGCCAAGGCGGCUGGAUCACGAGGUCAGGAGAUUGAGACCAUCCUGGCUAACACGGUGAAACCCCGUCUCUACUAAAAAUAGAAAAACAAACUUAGCCGGGAGUGGUGGCAGGCGCCUGUAGUCCCAGCUACUCGGGAGGCUGAGGCAGAGAAUGGCAUGAACCUGGGAGGCAGAGCUUGCAGUGAACCGAGAUCACACCACUGCACUCCAGCCUGGGCAACAGAGCGAUACUCCAUCUCAAAAAAAAGAAAGAAAAUAUUUGAAGUUUAUGUUAAUACUUCCUAAAUCCCAGGGGGCUGCUGUAUUAGUCUGUUUUCACACUGCUGAUAAAGACAUACCUGAGACUGGGCAAUUUACAAAAGAAAGAGGUUUAUUGGAAGGUGAAAGGCAUGUUUCACAUGGUGGCAGACAAGAGAGCUUGUGCAGGGAAACUCCCUUUUUUUUCUUUUAUACUUUAAGUUUUAGGGUACAUGUGCACAAUGUGCUGGUUAGUUACAUAUGUAUACAUGUGCCAUGUUGGUGUGCUGCACCCAUUAACUCAUCAUUUAACAUUAGGUAUAUCUCCUAAUGCUAUCCCUCCCCCCUCCCCCGACCCCACAACAGGCCCCAGUGUGUGAUGUUCCCCUUCCUGUGUCCAUGUGUUCUCAUUGCUCAAUUCCCACUUAUCAGUGAGAACAUGCGGUGUUUGGUUUUUUGUCCUUAUGAUAGUUUGCUGAGAAUCAUGGUUUCCAGCUUCAUCCAUGUCCCUACAAAGGGCAUGAACUCUCAUUUUUUAUGGUUGCAUAGUAUUCCAUGGUGUAUACGUGCCACAUUUUCUUAAUCCAGUCUAUCAUUGUUGGACAUUUGGCUUGGUUCCAAGUCUUUGCUAUUGUGAAUAGUGCCGCAAUAAAU
rnacentral:lncRNA from 10 species